GCUUGCUUUGGCAAUACAUAUACUAAAAUUAGAAUGGUACAGAGAAGAUUAGCAUGGCUCCUGCAUAAGGAUGACACACAAAUUUGUGAAACGUUCCAUAUUUUC